rnacentral:rRNA from 1 species
UACGUAGGGUGCAAGCGUUAAUCGGAAUUACUGGGCGUAAAGCGUGCGCAGGCGGCUUUGCAAGACAGAUGUGAAAUCCCCGGGCUUAACCUGGGAACUGCAUUUGUGACUGCAUCGCUGGAGUGCGGCAGAGGGGGAUGGAAUUCCGCGUGUAGCAGUGAAAUGCGUAGAUAUGCGGAGGAACACCGAUGGCGAAGGCAGCCCCCUGGGCUAGCACUGACGCUCAGGCACGAAAGCGUGGGGAGCAAACAGG